UUGCCUUUUAUGAUGAAGCAUUUUUCGGAUGUAAUUGCCUUCGGGCUAUGUCCGAGAGCGCAAAACCCAUGUGGACACCUCCGUUGCCUUCCUUCUGAUCCUUUCA
rnacentral:snoRNA from 1 species